UGAGUUUGAUUAUGGCUCAGGAUGAACGCUGGCGGCGUGCCUAACACAUGCAAGUCGAGCGAGAAGCUUACAUAGGAAUCUUCGGAUGAAUAAGUAAGUGGAAAGCGGCGGACGGGUGAGUAACGCGUGGGUAACCUACCCUAUACAGGGGGAUACCACAUUGAAAAGUGUGCUAAUACCGCAUAAGCACACAAUAUCGCAUGAUAUUGUGUGAAAAACA
rnacentral:rRNA from 1 species